rnacentral:rRNA from 1 species
GAUGAACGCUGGCGGCGUGCCUAAUACAUGCAAGUCGAGCGAACGGACGAGAAGCUUGCUUCUCUGAUGUUAGCGGCGGACGGGUGAGUAACACGUGGAUAACCUACCUAUAAGACUGGGAUAACUUCGGGAAACCGGAGCUAAUACCGGAUGAUAUUUUGAACCGCAUGGUUCAAAAGUGAAAGACGGUCUUGCUGUCACUUAUAGAUGGAUCCGUGCUGCAUUAGCUAGUUGGUAAGGUAACGGCUUACCAAGGCAACGAUGCAUAGCCGACCUGAGAGGGUGAUCGGCCACACUGGAACUGAGACACGGUCCAGACUCCUACGGGAGGCAGCAGUAGGGAAUCUUCCGCAAUGGGCGAAAGCCUGACGGAGCAACGCCGCGUGAGUGAUGAAGGUCUUCGGAUCGUAAAACUCUGUUAUUAGGGAAGAACAUAUGUGUAAGUAACUGUGCACAUCUUGACGGUACCUAAUCAGAAAGCCACGGCUAACUACGUG